rnacentral:misc_RNA from 1 species
GAUGAAGAACGUAGUGAAAUGCGAUACUUGGUGUGAAUUGCAGAAUCCCGUGAACCAUCGAGUCUUUGAACGCAAGUUGCGCCCGAAGCCACUAGGCCGAGGGCACGCCUGCCUGGGCGUCACACGCCGUUGCCCCCCCAUCUACUCCUUCGGGAUUGCGGGGGGGCGGAUGAUGGCCUCCCGUGCGCCUAGCCGCGCGGUUGGCAUAAAUACCAAGUCCUCGGCGACGCACGCCACGACAAUCGGUGGUUGCGAAACCUCGGUUGCCCGUCGUGUGCGUUCGUCGCGCAUCGAGGGCUCGAAAAAAUGCUCGGCUCCGGCUGGGCUUUCAACGCGACCCCAGGUCAGGCGGGGUUACCCGCUGAAUUUAAGCAUAUCAAUAAGCGAGGA